rnacentral:lncRNA from 1 species
GGCGGUGGCUGGUGACUGGCAUUUGAGACGGGGGAUAUAGUAUUGUAUAAAUCAGCAGAAAACCCAACAACAACAUGAGCGAACGGGCACAAAAAAUAAUAAACCUUAAUUCGAAGCUUGAAGCUUGAUUCAUUCAUAUUACACCCCACCCAGAGCACAGCCCAGAGGGGUGGAUGUGGACGGAACGUGGGGGCAGUAACAGUCUCGGACCCAAUUGAGCUAUGAAAACCGAUCAAACGUCGUCGUCGAGCCCACAAUCGAAAAUUGUUGCCAGGCACGAGAGCAAUGACAUGCCAUGCCAUGCCAAAAACAACAAGAGAGAGAGAGAACCCGAUCUGAAAACCAAAACUAAACCCAAUCACCACCAAUCGACCGUUUCUCGGGCGAAAAAUGCCACAGAAAGUCGUGCACUGGCAAUAAUCAUCGUUUGGAGGAGGAAGAAAGGAUGGAUCCCGUACUAGUACUUAGUACCAGCAGCAGUACCAGUGCCAGUACCGGAGCCUGAUUCGGCAGCGUUUGCUCUUCUCUGACUCUAUUUUGUCGGCGAACAUGGAUCUAGUGCACGGUUGUUCAUGAUUAAGUUCGUGACUAGAUUUCAUGCUCGUCUAUUAAGUUGGGUCAACACAACGAACCGAAAGAGCAGAGCAACGCAGUUGUCGAAAAUUGCACCACAGCUGCACUGCUGCCAACACUCCCCCAGGAGAAACUUUGGGUUCGGUCGGGUUGGUUUGGGUGGGUCUUGGGCAAUUAGCAGACGCAUUAAUUAUGGGAACGAUAUUCUCAUAUAGUUUGACGGGAUUGGAUUCGGUAUUGCAUGAUUGACCCGUGACCCACAUAAUGGCACACGCCCCGCAGCAGCUUAUUCAAUGAGGGCGUGUAAGUUGGACGAAACAGAAGAAGAAAAAAAAACGAGUCAAUGGCCUUUAACCGAUGACUGUAGUAAGUCGCUGGCUCAGCAGCGGCAGCUCACACGCCCCUCGAGCGCCCAGCAGCAGCCCGCAUCUCGCGUCCCGUGGACAGUAGCAUAGCUUGACGCUGGGAUCGCUGAUUUGUGUGUUGUGUGUGCCUUUUUAUCGGUACUGUGACAGAGCUGCAGAGUGGAGUGUCAGGCAACAGCUAGUGACAGCAGCAGCAGCAGCGGCCCACCAAUUUAUGGGCUAGUCGCACGCGAUUAAAAAAAAUCGAAUGCGCGCUCGGCCUGGGUUGACAAAAACAAAUGGAAAAUGCAAUGCAAUGGAGGGAGAGUGGCUGUAGGAGCCAGCAUUCGCCAUUCGGCGUGUGAAAAUCCAACAGGGCUGACUUGACUGUGUUUGCUAAGGCUGUGGCGCCUGCGGGUAAGUGUUGCCAUCCAUGGAGAGUAACGGUGCUUGUUGUUUUGUGACCAGACCAGCGUUACCAGGCAGCAGCAACCAAGCCAACGACGAUGACUAUUGCGUGGGCGUCUAACUGUAACACCUGCUGCUGCUACUGCUUCGGUCGCUGCUGCCUAAUACCAACUUUUGCUAUUAAAUUAACAUUUCUCUGCACUCCCUCUCUCUUUCUCUCUCUCUCGCUCUUUCCAAUUUUAAUUUCAGCUAAAGGAAUGAACGAAUGAAGCCGGAACACCUUUCAACCCAGGUUCAUUGUUAUUGCUGCUACUGCUGCUUCACGCUUAUUUAAGUGCCAACGCACCAGAGAGAGCGAGAGAUAGAGGGAAAAGAGAGUCGAGUCUACUUUACAUAUUUUCUAAAUGAAUGCUGUUUGUUUUUUUUUUUCCUGUAUGAUUAUUUGUAGGUACAGACACAGGGCUGUAUCCAUGGAGUUUCAACCCCGGCCAAGAAGAGCAUUGAAUUGCAACGGUUGCAGUGGAAACUGAUGACUUUCUGGCCUGGCUUUCCCUGCACUGAAUUGCACUUCCUCCCAGCCAGUCAGGCAGCAUCAAGUUGGCAAUCAGGAACAACGACCAGAAUUCGCCUCGUCAAACGCUGAAACUAAUUGAUAUAAUAGUUAAAAUAACAAACUAACGAGAAAGAACCUGGUGGGCAGCGCGGUGGUAGAAGCAAAAGAGGUUGAACUGCAUCGCACCAACAGCAGACAGAGCGGACAGAGCAGAGCGCGGCGUUGGUGAAGUGCAAAACCUUUCCAAUUUGAAAAUAGUUUUCCUGCUAUGUGUGCUCGUUCCCACAAACAGAAAUACCAACAACAGCAGCAGCCAGCAGCAGCAGCAGUCAGAACAAGCACAGCAGCAACAAUGCCUGCACUUUACAACGACGCCAUUGGGCAGAGGAGGAGAGGAAAAACAACAACAACUACAAGAAGCAGACGGAGAAGAAGGAGCUGCAGCGGCAAGCGGUGGAUUGGAUCGGAUCGGGAAAAGUAGAAGCAACAGCAAUCGGUGGAGCGGGAGUAGCAGAACCACCAGCAAGCGAUGAUUGGGGAAAAGGAAGGAGCCAGAGCCUCAGCUGGAUAGGAGGGGGACUGGGAUGGUGGGGGAUACUCGUAGUCAGCAAAGAUGACAAUGCAGCGAUUAAAGCAAUGCAGUACGAAGAAGAGAUGCGGCGGAACAACUUGAACUCUCUAGUUGCUGUCGAUGCCUCAGCGACAGCAGAAGCAGCUGGAAAAAUGUUUACCCCAAUCCCCAAUGCGCGGCAUUUCCGUUUGCCAGCGGAGGGGGGAGGAUGCGGCAGCCGAUGCUGAUGCACUUUGCAAUCGGCACUGCAAUGUGCAAUGUUCUGACGGCAAAGAAAAAAUAAUCAC